CCUACGGGGGGCUGCAGUGGGGAAUCUUGCGCAAUGGACGAAAGUCUGACGCAGCGACGCCGCGUGGGUGAUGAAGGCCUUCGGGUUGUAAAGCCCUGUGGGGAGAGAAGAAUAAGUGCGGGCUAAUACCCCGCAUGAUGACGGUAUCUCCUUAGCAAGCACCGGCUAACUCUGUGCCAGCAGCCGCGGUAAGACAGAGGGUGCAAACGUGGUUCGAAAGUGCUGGGAGUAAGGCGUGUAUAGGCGAUGUGAAAGCCCCGGGCUCAACCCGGGAAGUGCACGCGAUACUGUUAGGCUAGAGUACUGGAGAGGUUGGUGGAAUUCUGGGUGUAGAGGUGAAAUUCGUAGAUAUCGAGAGGAACACCGGUGGCGAAGGCGGCCAACUGGACAGAUACUGACGCUGAGACACGAAAGCGUGGGGAGCAAACAGGAUUAGAUACCCCAGUAGUC
rnacentral:rRNA from 1 species